CCUACGGGGGGCUGCAGUGGGGAAUUUUGGACAAUGGGGGCAACCCUGAUCCAGCCAUGCCGCGUGAGUGAAGAAGGCCUUCGGGUUGUAAAGCUCUUUCGGCCGGGAAGAAAUCGUGCGGGCUAAUACCCUGUAUGGAUGACGGUACCGGAAGAAGAAGCACCGGCUAACUACGUGCCCGCAGCCGCGGUAAUACGUAGGGUGCGAGCGUUAAUCGGAGUUACUGGGCGCGAUGCGGUAGCACAGAUGUGAAAUCCCCGGGCUUAACCUGGGAACUGCGUUUGUGACUGCGAGACUUGAGUGCGGCAGAGGGGGGUGGAAUUCCACGUGUAGCAGUGAAAUGCGUAGAGAUGUGGAGGAACACCGAUGGCGAAGGCAGCCCCCUGGGUCGACACUGACGCUCAUGCACGAAAGCGUGGGGAGCAAACAGGAUUAGAUACCCCUGUAGUC
rnacentral:rRNA from 1 species